GGUCUACCCGUUUACGCUAGGAGGUUUUCUCGGCGCAAACCACGACUUGCGAGGGCUCCUCACCGCAGUGUGCAAUUUAUUCUGGUCUGUGCACUGCGACAUUGGCUUUCUGCUUACCGGCAUGGUCAGCCCCGAGCAGUUAAAUAAGACACGAAUUCCUGUGAUCGUGGGCCAUAGUCCGAUUGGCACGAGCGUUCAAAAUCUUCUUCAUUUUUACCAGAUCUACAAAGCAAAAAACCUUAUCAUGUACGACCAUGGCGAAGCGGAGAACCGUAGAAGAUACGGCCAGGUAACUCCACCAGCCUACCCCCUGGAACGCAUUCACUACCGAUAGCCAUGUUCUCGUCUCAAGGCGAUAUACUGUCCAACACAGCAGACGUGGCGGACCUGGCUUACACACUCGGUUCCCGCGUCGUCUUUAGCCGAGUCGUUCCUAAUCCAAGUUUUAGCCAUUUAGACUUUCUAAACAGCUACCGAGCGAACGAUUUUCUCCACAACACCGCAAUAGAACUAGCCAAAAGUACUCUUCGCAAAACCCGUGAUGCUUUGUCACAGACGGCUGUCCUUUGUUCACGCUCUUAAAAUACUUCGAUCUUUGCUGCAUUCAGGUCUGCUCCAGGCAGAAACAAAGUGCCAAGCUAAAGUGAUGUUACCCCGGAGAAGAAUUCAAGGAAAAUUGUUUACAGAAGCGUUAUGCAUACCUUAAUCAUUUCAUUAUUAGUGAGAGCAGUUAAAACAUAAAAUGAUCAUCGUUAUUUCUGAUUAUUCAAGAAUAAACAGCCUGAACAGGUGGUGGCCGUUAUUAAUCAA